rnacentral:rRNA from 1 species
AGGGCGCACGGUGGAUGCCUUGGCACUAGAAGCCGAUGAAGGACGUGACUAACGACGAAAUGCUUUGGGGAGCUGUAAGUGAGCAAUGAUCCAGAGAUGUCCGAAUGGGGGAACCCGGCAGGUAAUGCCUGUCACUCAUUACUGUUAAGGUAAUGUAGAGGAAGACGCAGUGAACUGAAACAUCUAAGUAGCUGCAGGAAGAGAAAGCAAAAGCGAUUGCCUUAGUAGCGGCGAGCGAAACGGCAAGAGGGCAAACCGAAGAGUUUACUCUUCGGGGUUGUAGGACUGCAACGUGGACUUAAAGAUUAUAGAAGAACUACCUGGGAAGGUAGGCCAAAGAGAGUAAUAGCCUCGUAUUCGAAAUAGUCUUUAUACCUAGCAGUAUCCUGAGUACGGCGAGACACGAGAAAUCUCGUCGGAAUCUGGGAGGACCAUCUCCCAACCCUAAAUACUCUCUAGUGACCGAUAGUGAACCAGUACCGUGAGGGAAAGGUGAAAAGCACCCCGGGAGGGGAGUGAAAUAGAACCUGAAACCGUGUGCCUACAACAAGUUCGAGCCCGUUAAUGGGUGAGAGCGUGCCUUUUGUAGAAUGAACCGGCGAGUUACGAUAUGAUGCGAGGUUAAGUUGAAGAGACGGAGCCGUAGGGAAACCGAGUCUUAAUAGGGCGCAUUAGUAUCAUGUCGUAGACCCGAAACCAUGUGACCUACCCAUGAGCAGGUUGAAGGUGAGGUAAAACUCACUGGAGGACCGAACCAGGGCACGUUGAAAAGUGCUUGGAUGACUUGUGGGUAGCGGAGAAAUUCCAAACGAACUUGGAGAUAGCUGGUUCUCUCCGAAAUAGCUUUAGGGCUAGCGUCGAUGUUAAGUCUCUUGGAGGUAGAGCACUGUUUGGGUGAGGGGUCCAUCCCGGAUUACCAAUCUCAGAUAAACUCCGAAUGCCAACGAGAUAUAAUCGGCAGUCAGACUGCGAGUGCUAAGAUCCGUAGUCGAAAGGGAAACAGCCCAGACCACCAGCUAAGGUCCCAAAAUAUAUGUUAAGUGGAAAAGGAUGUGGGGUUGCACAGACAACUAGGAUGUUAGCUUAGAAGCAGCUAUUCAUUCAAAGAGUGCGUAAUAGCUCACUAGUCGAGUGACCCUGCGCCGAAAAUGUACCGGGGCUAAAACAUAUUACCGAAGCUGUGGAUACCUUUAUAGGUAUGGUAGGAGAGCGUUCUAUGUGCGAAGAAGGUGUACCGUGAGGAGUGCUGGAGCGCAUAGAAGUGAGAAUGCCGGUAUGAGUAGCGAAAGACAGGUGAGAAUCCUGUCCACCGUAAGACUAAGGUUUCCAGGGGAAGGCUCGUCCGCCCUGGGUUAGUCGGGACCUAAGGAGAGACCGAAAGGUGUAUCCGAUGGACAACAGGUUGAUAUUCCUGUACUAGAGUAUAUAGUGAUGGAGGGACGCAGUAGGCUAACUAAACCAGACGAUUGGAAGUGUCUGGCCAAGCAGUGAGGUGUGAUAUGAGUCAAAUGCUUAUAUCUAUAACAUUGAGCUGUGAUGGGGAGCGAAGUUUAGUAGCGAAGUUAGUGAUGUCACACUGCCGAGAAAAGCUUCUAGCGUUAAUUAUACUCUACCCGUACCGCAAACCGACACAGGUAGUCGAGGCGAGUAGCCUCAGGUGAGCGAGAGAACUCUCGUUAAGGAACUCGGCAAAAUGGCCCCGUAACUUCGGGAGAAGGGGCGCUGACUUAUGGUCAGCCGCAGUGAAUAGGCCCAAGCAACUGUUUAUCAAAAACACAGCUCUCUGCUAAAUCGUAAGAUGAUGUAUAGGGGGUGACGCCUGCCCGGUGCUGGAAGGUUAAGAGGAGUGCUUAGCAAUAGCGAAGGUAUGAAUUGAAGCCCCAGUAAACGGCGGCCGUAACUAUAACGGUCCUAAGGUAGCGAAAUUCCUUGUCGGGUAAGUUCCGACCCGCACGAAAGGCGUAAUGAUUUGGGCACUGUCUCAACGAGAGACUCGGUGAAAUUUUAGUACCUGUGAAGAUGCAGGUUACCCGCGACAGGACGGAAAGACCCCAUGGAGCUUUACUGCAGUUUGAUAUUGAGUAUCUGUACCACAUGUACAGGAUAGGUAGGAGCCUAUGACCUCGGGACGCCAGUUUCGAGUGAGGCGUUGUUGGGAUACUACCCUUGUGUUAUGGCUACUCUAACCCAGAUAGGUUAUCCCUAUCGGAGACAGUGUCUGACGGGCAGUUUGACUGGGGCGGUCGCCUCCUAAAAGGUAACGGAGGCGCCCAAAGGUUCCCUCAGAAUGGUUGGAAAUCAUUCGCAGAGUGUAAAGGUAUAAGGGAGCUUGACUGCGAGAGUUACAACUCGAGCAGGGACGAAAGUCGGGCUUAGUGAUCCGGUGGUUCCGCAUGGAAGGG